GGGGCUAUAGCUCAGUUGGUAGAGUGCUUGCCUUGCAUAUGUGAGGCCUUGGGUUCUAAUCCCAAGCACCA
rnacentral:tRNA from 1 species